AUGGCUCGCGGUGAUCAUCAAAACGAUAAUGAUGAUUUCAUGGAUCCACCACAGCAGAAUCGGGCAACUGGACGGAGAAAAGAGGGCGAUGAUAAGAAGAAACAUAUCCGCAACAGGGCCUCCCAAGAACGACUGACUACAUUGACUGACAGAUUUACCGACGAUCAGAAGGGAGUUGCUGCUGAGAUGGGUAUGCAGGCUCUAAUGAAUGUCCGGUGCAUGAAUCUUGUCAACCCUGCAUGCGACUGGCUUGGUGAGAUCUACGACCCCGCCUCUAGGGAAUUUGUGAUUCCGGGACGUGGAAGACUACCGUUGAACGAGGAAUCCGUGUUCUGCACUUUGGGUGUGCCUCGUGGACAGAUCAAAGUCCCGUACGAGGCCAUGACAACCCAUGGAGAUGUUUUUAAGAUGAAGCUACUCAUGUACCUCAUCUCAGUUGUUUUUGCGCUGACCACUUCUCUUCGCCCAAGCAACAAAUGCUUCCCCAUCCUGGCGAAACUAAUAGAUGUGAAGAACAUGAAUUGGUGUAAGUUUAUUGCCGACUUCCUGCAUGAUGCAUUCUCAAGCAAGAUGUACCAAAAGGGUUGUCGACUGCAUUUAAUGCUCAUGUACGUCGACUGUCUUGAUCUGUCCACCGUGGAUUUCACUGGGACAGGAGGCCCGCCGCCUACGCACAAGUUUGCUGUUUCUGCGUGGACUAUCGAUGCUGUCAAGGCUGUGCUUGCUGCAGAUAGGGUAACUGAUACCAAAUAUGGAAAACUGCAGCUAAUGGCCAAGCAUGCUAUAGACUACAACGUGUUUGGGGGGGCUCAAAACUUUGGAAAGUGGAUGGACGUGCACUCAGCUCUAUCUUGCCCUACCGAGGCGAGGGCACCUGUUGAGCAUCUAAUUGGGCAGUUUGCAUCCAGAAUGACCGGCUUGCUCGGCAAGUUGGUUGAGGGGUGGACGUCCCUUAGUGGCUCUGACAGCAAUGCGGUUGCAAGUUCCCAAAAGCUUGCUGACACACAAGAUGAACUAGAUGGAGACGCUGGUCUCAACAAGGAUGACGACGAUGACAUGGAGAACGUGCAACAGGACACCGAUGAUGAUGAACAUGCUGAAGUUCGUGCAGGUGGUAACAAGGGCAAGGAUGCACGAGAUGUCCCCCCACCGGAGAAAGUCAAAGAACAUACGGCUACGAGAGGCGAGGGGGUGUUGCCAUCAAAGAGGGGGAGGGCUCCAGAGGAUGUUGGGCAGGGUUCUCCUGGCAAGAGGUCUAGGACCGAUCACGUA
rnacentral:rRNA from 1 species